rnacentral:rRNA from 1 species
GAUGAACGCUAGCGGGAGGCUUAACACAUGCAAGUCGAGGGGCAGCAUUUACUUCGGUAAGAUGGCGACCGGCGCACGGGUGCGUAACGCGUAUGCAACCUACCUUAUACAGAGGGAUAGCCCAUGGAAACGUGGAUUAAUACCUCAUAGUAUUGUAAUAUCGCCUGAUAUAACAAUUAAAAUUUCGAUGGUAUAAGAUGGGCAUGCGUCUGAUUAGUUAGUUGGUGAGGUAACGGCUCACCAAGACGACGAUCAGUAGGGGUUCUGAGAGGAUUAUCCCCCACACUGGUACUGAGACACGGACCAGACUCUUACGGGAGCAGCAGUGAGGAAUAUUGGUCAAUGGGCGCAAGCCUGAACCAGCCAUCCCGCGUGCAGGAUGACGGCCCUAUGGGUUGUAAACUGCUUUUCAUGCCAAGAAUGGUUCUUACGUGUAAGGAUUUGACGGUAGCAUAGGAAUAAGCACCGG